rnacentral:lncRNA from 1 species
GAGUUGGACGGGAAUUGAUGAGCGGAAAGGGAUCGGCACGACUGGCGGUUUUACCCGCGCAAAGCGGCAGCGCAACGAUCUAGCCAGCGGGCAGCGGGCGGCGCGGCGGGGUGGCCGGCGGCCUCGGGAAUUCUUCCCGUCCGAACGCUCGGACGGGAACCGCUAUUUCCCGCGCCGGGAGCCGAGGCGGAACGAGUGCAGGAAUCGGCAGCCAGGUACGUUGCGUUAGUUUUUUUUCUUAUUCCUUUUAUUCUUUCCUUUUCCUUUCUUUUUCUUUCCAUUUUGAUUUCUCUUUUUCCUUUUCGUGAUUUAUUUUAUUUUUAUUUCUUUUAUGUUUUAUAUAGUUAUUUUUAUUAUUAUUUUCACUUUUUAUAUUUUAUAUGUUUUUUUAUUUCUUUUUAUUUUUUCCUUUCUUUUCUUUCUUUUUCUUAUUAUUUUUAUUUCCUUUUUUCACUUUAUCUUUCACUUCUCAUUUCUUGUUAUUUUCAUGCUUCUUUUUUAUUUUUUAUUAUUUUGUGUUUUACAUAUUUUUUAUUAUUCUUUUCACUUUCUUUUAUAUUUUGUAUGUUUCUUUUAUUUCUUUUUCUUUUCAUUCCUUUUUUCUUAUUACUUUUAUUUUUCUCUUCACUUUAUCUUCUACUAUUUGUUUCAUGUUGUUUUUCAUUACUUUAUUUUAUUUUUCUACGUCUCCAACACAUGCGCGGUAUGAAUUUUUAUACAACCAUUGGGUUCAGUAUUUUUAGAUGAACUUUUAUCGUAACUAGUAAGUUGUUCAUUACUUUCCUUUUUUAUUUCUUUUUUAUUUUUCUUUUUCUUUUCUUAUUUUUUAUUCUGUGUUAUUUUAUAGUAAUUAAUUAUUAUAUUUUUCAUAUACAUAUUUAUUUCAUAUUUUCCAAUAUAAUAAUCAUUUAUUAUUCAUGUUUUAUGUUUUUUCUCUUCUUUGCUAUUUUUUCAUUUUUAUAUUAUUAUUGUUAUUACUAUAAUUGAUUACUUUUAAUUUAUAUUCUGCUUUUUAUUUUCUAUAUUUCAUGAGAUGUUUAUAUGGUAUAGAUUUAUGUUCUACGAUGUUUCAUGUGGUAUAUAAUGUUAUGUCCUGUGAUGUUUUUAUGAUGUUUCUGUAAUAUAAAUUUGAUGUUUUAGAUACUUUUUGUGAUGUUCACAUAUUAUAAAUGUGAUGUUCUAUGAUGUUUGUAUGUCCACAUGGUAUAGAUGUAAUGUUUUAUGGCGAUGUCCGUACAGUAUACAUGUGAUGUUCACGUCGUAUGUAAUGGUGUUCUAUGAUGUAUUUCAUGAUGUUCAUGUAGAAUACAUGUGGUGUUCUAUUACGUUUUUUUGUGAUGUUCUAUGGUGUAUCUAGUGGUGUUUACUUACUAUAUACGUGAUGUUCUAGGUAUAUUUAGUGAUGUUCACUUACUUUAUAUGUGAUGUUCUAUUAUGUAUUUAGUUGUGUUUAUGGUUUAUUUAAUGUUGUUCCUGUAGUAUAUAUGUGAUGUUCUAUUAUGUUUUCUAUGUUUGCACAAUAUACAUGUGAUGUUUUAUGAUGUAUAUAAUGAUGUUCACAUAAUAUAUAUGCGAUGUUCUAUAAUAUAUUUAGUGAUAUUUUAUGGUGUAUUUAAUGUUGUUCACUUAGUAUAUGUGAUAUUCUAGUCUAUUUAGGACGUUUAAAAAAUAUACGUGUUAUAUUCUUUUUAUCUUUUCUUUAUUAUGUUUUCUCUUAUGCUUUACUUUAAAAUUUAUUGUCAUUUGUUUAUGUUAUCUGUCUAUAUUUAUUUUUAUAUCAUAUUAUCAUAAAUCUAAACUAGAAUAUUAUUGUUCUAAACUGAGAACAUUUUUUUAUUGAAACUUAGAACACCAUCUCUGCCCAAUAAUGUUCUAUCUUUGUAAGAUAAAUAUUCGUUAAUAAAAUAUUAUCUAAAUAUAUCCAUGUGAGAUCUUAUUUUGAAGAAUUUAUUGUAACAAAACCGUUGGUGUAAUCGGAAUUUAAUUUUAAUGAUUAGUAUAAAAGUUAUGACUUUUUUAAAUAUGUUGAAGACUAUUUAAUGCGUCAGCCUAGUUGACGUGGAAUGAGAUGAGCAUCGGUCAGCCUAGAAAUAUCUACCCACGCGCUGAGCCAAAACCUGUCACUUUCUACUAUUGGCCUAUACUUACUAGGCGUGAAAAUCUAUCCGCAAGAAAAUUCGGCGGGAAUUGCCGGACGCCGGACUCGGUCGGAACGGCCGGACCGCAAGAGGGCCCGGCGGCCUCGCCCUCGAUCGCCCUCGAGGUGGGCAAGGGCCCGUUGCUCUCGGGCGCGUCGCGGUCGCGGUCACGGGCCAGGCCGGGCGCCGGCUCGUCUCGGGUGGGCACGCGCCGGAGCGCGGGUUCGGAUGCAAAAGCGAAUCGCUGGACUGACGACGGUUUGGUGCGACGUACGGUGCAUGUGUGGGUGGUUAGGACAUAGGAGUGUGAUUAGGAAACGUGAUGCUGGUUGCUGGAGCCCAAACACAAAUCUUUCAUUCAAUAGAAAUAGACGCAUCUGUUGAUCAGGUGACUGAUGUUGAUGACGCCUAUCAAUUCGACAGGCGGCAAUCAGAAACUGCAGAGGAUUAGUUUUUUUUUUAUGUCACACAAUGAUAACUAAGUACGCCUACUUAAAUGUGUUCCAGUGUUACAGUAACUAGUCUUCUUUGAUCAACAGCGGAUCCCGUGUUCCUGAGUGAGAUGGUGAUAAUUGCGGAGCUAGGAUAGACGGUAUAUAUAUGAGUUAAGUGUAGCUUAUUUAUUUAGGUUUUGUGGUGGUAACUGUCUACCUGAGUUAUUAGUUGACAGCAAGACACACAUUUUGUAACUCUUAAUCUUGAAAUCUACCGGUAUAAUAUUUUUGAGGUUCUCAUACGGAGUAGUAGGUGUGUUUACGUGAGGGUGCAUAUACGUGAGCACCGUGUUUAUAUUGUGAGUUAGCGCAAGUACGACAAUGGCCUUAUAGCUAAGUUAGUCAGCAUUUUUGCUGACAUGAAGGAGAGAAGAGAAGAAAGCUUAGCUCUUAUUCUAGCAUCAAGUUAAGCACGGAAGCAUAGGCAUAUGUGGGUCCAAACAAGAGUAUAUGUUGAGAAGGAGUGGAAAAAGAAAAUAAAAUAUAUAGGAUACAACAUAAUAAUAAAAGACUUUCUUAUAGAUAAAUAGGAAAUAACUAUUGUAUGACUUGAGGGUGUACCAAAUCGUCCCUUAGUCAUUCUAAGGUGAUGCUGGUUGCUGGAGCCCAAACACAAAUCUUCCAAUAGAAAUUGACGCAUCUGUUGAGGUGACUGAUGUUGGUGACGCCUAUCAAUUCGACAGGCGGCAAUCAGAAACUGCAGAAGAUUAGAUUUUUUUUUUAUGUCACACAAUAAUAACCAAGUACGCCUACUUAUUAAUGUGUUCCAGUAACUAGUCUUCUUUGAUCAACAGCAGAUCCCGUGUUCAUGAGUGAGAUGGUGAUAAUUGCGGG